UUUCGGCGUCGGUGGAGAACUUCGGACCGUGUUUGCAAGGAUGGCAAUUACGGCAGCAGCAACACCGCUUUAUUUCAGUUCUAGCAGCUGUCUUCACUUGGAGGUCACAUUUGAGAUUUUGUGCCAAUGGUAGAGAGAAGCCUGGUGCCCUUUCCCAGUAGGCUGCUAGGAACGACCCAAAGUGAGAUAAUAUGCUGUCACACUCUCUCAAAACAGUGGCGGACUGGCUGACAAAAGUGCAGCUUGAGCAUCAACUGUGACUCAAAGAAUAUUAGAAAUCAUUGAGUCAGCCGGACUUUGUGUAAGCAGCUGCAUCAUUCCCUGAGGUGGCACGAACAAGGAAGAUCUGUACUCGUGAUCUCAUCGAGCAACUUUCUGCAUGGGAGUCCUGGUUGUCAGUAGAAGAUUGCAGCCAAAUAUUCCAGGGUGAAAGUCGAGCCUUUCCGGCUACCAAGACAUGACUGUAGAGCUCAUAAGGAGUCCUUCAUGGUACUCCGGCCAAAGUUCAGUUGUAAUUCCAAUUGGUAACUUUUGAAAGCACCACAAAUUGGUUUUAUGUGCGUGUUGUGAGAAUGGUAUA
rnacentral:lncRNA from 1 species